rnacentral:rRNA from 1 species
GAUGAACGCUGGCGGCGUGCUUAACACAUGCAAGUCGAACGUGAGGGUGUAGCAAUAUGCCUGAAAGUGGCGAACGGGUGAGUAACACGUAGAUGACCUGCCCUGGAGUGGGGGAUAACCAUUGGAAACGGUGGCUAAUACCGCAUACAUCCAGAAGAUUGGGAAAUUUUCUGGGGAAAGCUCUGGUGCUCUGGGAGGGGUCUGCGUCCGAUUAGCUAGUUGGUGAGGUAAAGGCUCACCAAGGCGACGAUCGGUAGCUGGUCUGAGAGGAUGAUCAGCCAACCGGGAACUGGGACACGGUGCCGACUCCUACGGGGGGCAGCAGUGAGGAAUAGUGGGCAAUGGGCGAGAGCCUGACCCAGCAACGCCGCGUGGAGGAAGACGGCCUUCGGGUUGUAAACUCCUUUUGACAGGGAAGAGAGAGGACGGUACCUGUCGAAUAAGUCACGGCUAACUACGUGCCAGCCGCCGCGGUAAUAC